UACGUAGGCAGCAAGCGUUGUUCGGAAUUACUGGGCGUAAAGCGAGUGUAGGCGGUGCGAUAAGUUUGGUGUGAAAUCUCCCGGCUCAACUGGGAGGGUGCGCCGAAGACUGUCGUGCUUGAGUGUGGGAGAGGUAGGCGGAAUUCCUGGUGUAGCGGUGAAAUGCGUAGAUAUCAGGAGGAACACCUGCGGUGUAGACGGCUUACUGGACCACGACUGACGCUGAAACUCGAAAGUGUGGGGAG
rnacentral:rRNA from 1 species